CCUACGGGAGGCUGCAGUGAGGAAUAUUGGUCAAUGGGCGCGAGCCUGAACCAGCCAAGUAGCGUGAAGGAUGACUGCCCUACGGGUUGUAAACUUCUUUUAUAAAGGAAUAAAGUGAGGCACGUGUGCCUUUUUGUAUGUACUUUAUGAAUAAGGAGCGGCUAACUCCGUGCCAGCAGCCGCGGUAAUACGGAGGAGACGAGCGUUAUCCGGAUUUAUUGGGUUUAAAGGGAGCGUAGAUGGGUUGUUAAGUCAGUUGUGAAAGUUUGCGGCUCAACCGGAAAAUUGCAAUUGAUACUGGCAGUCUUGAGUACAGUUGAGGUAGGCGGAAUGCGUGGUGUAGCGGUGAAAUGCUUAGAUAUCACGAAGAACUCCGAUUGCGAAGGCAGCUUACUAAACUGCCACUGACAUUGAUGCUCGAAAGUGUGGGGAGCAAACAGGAUUAGAUACCCUAGUAGUC
rnacentral:rRNA from 1 species